GCUAUAGAUCCCUCAGUGUCGCUGGACCACUCAUGAGGAUUUCAUUGCUUCACUCAGUUACAUUAACUUCCAGUCAGGUUGCUCUAACAAGUGACUAAGUAAUUCCUGAGCUUUAAAGGAACCCACAAUGUUACCCCUUAAAUCUGGGCCAGGAGUACAAAUCUAAUUUUCUUUUUAAGCAUUGUCUUUUAUUUCGAUGAGGCUUGAAAAGGGAGCUCUGCUGUUAGCCAUGGGAGCCCUCUGUGCAGUCUCCUGAAGUUCACACCUCCAAAAACAGCUCACACGGUGCUGGUUACAAUGACAAGAAGAAAUGUGGUGGUAUAGCGAUGCUCUGCAGCUCUGGGCUCUGUAAGGCUGAUCUUGCUGGCCUGUAAAUCACUCUAGCUGCAGUUCAGAGUGCAGACAACUAAGGCUGUACUGAGGGAUAUAGACUUGUAAUUAACCCAGAAGGCUACAGGGUUAGUGGUUUCUAGUUGUGAGCCAAGCUCAGUCACAUAAAGCAUUCACCUAGUUCAGUUUAAUUUUUGGGAGAGUCUGGAAGGGCAUGUCCCACGGGGAGGCCAACGGAGGAGGGCAGAUACGAAAGGCACACUGGAAUAUUUUUCUGUGUGUCGCUAGUAAACAGCCUUGCUGCAGCAUGCAGGUUUGCAGAAGUCAUGGCAUCCCCCAGGCUUCCUUUCCUUGGUGUGUACGAAUGGGAACCCAUUCCUCACUCUGGUGUGCACUCGCCAUCAGGCUGGUCAUGGAAAGAUACAACUGCACCAUGUUGUGUGCUGUCUCAGGCUCUUGGGGGUACUAGGCAUAAUCAUAGAUCUGCUUUUCUCUUUCUGCUUUCACUUUAUAUGCACGUCUGACAAGCAAAGCUGGCUCAGAAAACACAGAUUAUUUGCAAAGCAUCUCAUCUUGCUGCCAUGUCCAACCCACGCUAGUCAGCCCCUAGAGGAACAUUCUUAUGGUGUUUUAAGUGAUUAUGUUGUUGGACUUCAUUGAUGUAAAUAUUUAAAAUACUGUUUGAGUUUUAAGUUAUCAGUUUUAAUUCCUUUUUUAGUGGCAGGAGAGGAAACAGAAAGAAUUUUUAUACCAUUUUUCUUUGUUCUCUCUGUCUUCACCCACAUUCAUGACAUUGUUAUUUUUGUAUCUGAAAUUCCAGGUGUAUAACUAAAAAGAAAAGGGCAGGGAUUUGGGCCAGAUUUUCCAGAGUACUUAGUAGUAAGACAGUAUUUGCUAUUCUCAGAAGCUUGUGAAAAGAAAUUAAAAAUUAAUAUAAAGGAGUAAAGAAUUAGGCUUUCAGUUUUUUGAGCAUGCUAGAUGCAGAGAUCAUCGCACUGGAAUACCACGAAGGUAUGCGAGGAGAAACAGAGUGGAAAUGUUUCCAUUCUGUGUUUAGAGUCCUUGAUCAUUAGGUUACACUAUGAUAGGCAAAUAGAGAAAAACAUGUACAGAUUAUAAGGAUUCACAACAAAAAAAAAA
rnacentral:lncRNA from 1 species